GCCAAAGCAAAUUCUUAACAUGACUAAAAUAUAUACGUAAACAGAAAAAUAUUGAGUUUAAAAGCAUGAGUCAAAUAGCGAGAGAUUGUUUACCUGCAACUGACCACAGAGAAAAAAUACCUUAAUUUUCUCAAAGAGAUUCUUGAGAUAGUAGAGCUUCGUGCUGAUAACGUGUUAUAAAAUAAUACAAGAACUUGAGAUAGUAGAGCUUCGUGCUGAUAACGUGUUAUGAAAUAAUAGAAGAACAAGAACAAUAUUGCAGAGCAAGGUAGGGAGAGGAGAAUUCUUAUUAAUA
rnacentral:lncRNA from 1 species